GGGCUCGUGGUGGAAUUGGCAGACACACCAGCUUGAGGGGCUGGCGCUGGCAACAGCAUGCAGGUUCAACUCCUGUCGAGCCCA
rnacentral:tRNA from 2 species